rnacentral:rRNA from 1 species
AGUGAACGCUGGCGGUAGGCCUAACACAUGCAAGUCGAACGGCAGCACAGUAAGAGCUUGCUCUUACGGGUGGCGAGUGGCGGACGGGUGAGGAAUACAUCGGAAUUUACUUUUUCGUGGGGGAUAACGUAGGGAAACUUACGCUAAUACCGCAUACGACCUACGGGUGAAAGCAGGGGAUCUUCGGACCUUGCGCGAUUGAAUGAGCCGAUGUCGGAUUAGCUAGUUGGCGGGGUAAAGGCCCACCAAGGCGACGAUCCGUAGCUGGUCUGAGAGGAUGAUCAGCCACACUGGAACUGAGACACGGUCCAGACUCCUACGGGAGGCAGCAGUGGGGAAUAUUGGACAAUGGGCGCAAGCCUGAUCCAGCCAUACUGCGUGGGUGAAGAAGGCCUUCGGGUUGUAAAGCCCUUUUGUUGGGAAAGAAAAGCAGCAGGUUAAUACCCCGCUGUUCUGACGGUACCCAAAGAAUAAGCACCGGCUAACUUCGUG